UACGUAGGGUGCAAGCGUUGUCCGGAAUUAUUGGGCGAAAGAGCUCGUAGGCGGUCUGUCGCGUCGGAUGUGAAAACCCAGGGCUCAACCCUGGGCCUGCAUUCGAUACGGGCAGACUAGAGUUCGGUAGGGGAGACUGGAAUUCCUGGUGUAGCGGUGAAAUGCGCAGAUAUCAGGAGGAACACCGGUGGCGAAGGCGGGUCUCUGGGCCGAUACUGACGCUGAGGAGCGAAAGCGUGGGGAGCAACAGG
rnacentral:rRNA from 1 species